CGCUAUACGCGGCGUAAAAUGUUGCUUAAUACGCGUAAUACGCGUAAUACGCGCGUAAACCAAUGGUUCCCUAAGGAAAAAAAGGCGAUUUCAUACGCGAAGUACGCGAGAUACGCGUCUGGUGUGGCCGCACCUUAACAGAUUUUUUUUUUUUAUAGAACUGAAACUUUUAUCCUGUUUAAAAUAAUCAAAUGUAUGUUCGUCCACUGAAGCGUUUGAGAUUUUAUUAAUGUUUAAAAAUAAAUAGAAUUUACUAGCAUGUUUGGCAUGAAUGUUAAGCUGUUGAGCUAAGCUCCCUUAACAGUGACAAUAUGUUUUUUAAUUGUUAUUUUAUGUACAGAAAAGAAUGGUGUUCUGAUGGUGUCUCCUGAAUGCUUCUUAUGUGAUUUAGACAGGCAGCAGUGGGUUUAUAAUUUGUUCGGACUGGGAUCUGUCUAUUCUGUGUGGGGGGGGAAACACGCACACACACGCACAGGCACACACAGGCAUACACACACACACACACACACACACACACAUACAGGCACACGCACACAUACAAGCACACACAUACAAACACAUACACACGUAAUUGAGUCGGCCUUACCAACUUUGCAGCUGAACUAAAUUCUGUGUAUCGCUCUGUGGUCACACGGGUGUUUUGGCACAAUAGCGCAACAUUGAGGACCCAUCAAACUGCCAACAGGAGGCGUUGAACUAUAGGCUGUGGGUACGGGACCCGAACACAAAACCCCAAUGCUUGAUUGUCUUGUUAAGGAUGUAAUUCCACCCCUCCCCCCCAAUCCAGUUUAAAAGAGAUAAUGUUUUCGCCGCCUGCAAGAAUAAUGUGAGUCGAUCUUCAGGAAAAUGAAAAUAAAACAUGCAAUUAUCUUAUUAAAUGUAUCUAGUUGCCUGCAAAGCUUUGUGCUGUGUUUUUUCCUUCCCCUUCUUCUCUUUUAGCUGCUCAUUGUUCCGUGGGUCCUGGCCGGUCCAUCCUUCUGAGGCCAGAAUAGCUUUUAUGAGCGUGGAGGUGAAGAGGCGACAGGGAGGAAGAGAACCCGAUCCUAAUCUCCCC
ensembl:lncRNA